rnacentral:rRNA from 1 species
GACGAACGCUGGCGGCGUGCUUAACACAUGCAAGUCGAACGGAAAGGCCCUGCUUUUGUGGGGUGCUCGAGUGGCGAACGGGUGAGUAACACGUGAGUAACCUGCCCUUGACUUUGGGAUAACUUCAGGAAACUGGGGCUAAUACCGGAUAGGAGCUCCUGCUGCAUGGUGGGGGUUGGAAAGUUUCGGCGGUUGGGGAUGGACUCGCGGCUUAUCAGCUUGUUGGUGGGGUAGUGGCUUACCAAGGCUUUGACGGGUAGCCGGCCUGAGAGGGUGACCGGACACAUUGGGACUGAGAUACGGCCCAGACUCCUACGGGAGGCAGCAGUGGGGAAUAUUGCACAAUGGGCGGAAGCCUGAUGCAGCAACGCCGCGUGCGGGAUGACGGCCGUCGGGUUGUAAACCGCUUUCGCCUGUGACGAAGCGUGAGUGACGGUAAUGGGUAAAGAAGCACCGGCUAACUACGUG